AAUCGGUUCACGGCAAUGUGAUACGUGUAUCAUGCAGCCGGACCGAAGGGGAUGAGCCACGGCAAAAGCACAUGAAGUGGAAAGCCGAAACAUCAAGUGGCGGGUAGAGAUUGGUAGGCGGCAACGCUCGAAGAUCUUAGGCCCG
rnacentral:sRNA from 12 species